GCCAUUAGCUUACGCUUGCCUCAAAAAUUAACCCCUUCAUGUCUAAUUAUAAACGCUUCUAUACUGUAAAACUGCAAAUGGCUCAUUAUAUCACUUAUAUUUUCUUUGAUGGUCCUUGCUACUUGGAUAACCGAAUUAAUUCUAAACCUAAUACAUGCAUUAAUCCCCAACUUCAGGAAGGGGUGUAUUUAUUAAAUUGAAACCAAUGCGGGGCAACCCGGAUCCUGGUAAUUCAAAAUAACUUUCGGAUCCACUCCGGCCAAGCCAACAUUCAAGUUUCUGCCCUAUCACCUUUGGAUGGUAGGGUAUUGGCCUACCAUGGCUUUACCGGGAAACGGAUAAUUAGGGUUCGAUUCCGGAGAGGGAGCCUGACAAAUGGCUACCUCAUCGAAGGAAGGCAGCAGGCGCUUAAAUAACCCAACCCUGACCCAGGGAGGUAGGACCAAUAAAUAACAAUGCCGGGCUUUUCUAAGUCGGGCAAUUGAAAAAAGAACAAUUAAAAUCCCUCUUCGAGGAUCAUUG
rnacentral:rRNA from 1 species